GGGUUGUGAGGUUAAGCGACUAAGCGUACACGGUGGAUGCCCUGGCAGUCAGAGGCGAUGAAGGGCGUGCUAAUCUGCGAUAAGCGCCGGUAAGGUGAUAUGAACCGUUAUAACCGGCGAUACCCGAAUGGGGAAACCCAGUGUGAUUCGUCACACUAUCAUUAACUGAAUCCAUAGGUUAAUGAGGCGAACCGGGGGAACUGAAACAUCUAAGUACCCCGAGGAAAAGAAAUCAACCGAGAUUCCCCCAGUAGCGGCGAGCGAACGGGGAGGAGCCCAGAGCCUGAAUCAGCAUGUGUGUUAGUGGAAGCGUCUGGAAAGGCGCGCGAUACAGGGUGACAGCCCCGUACACAAAAGCGCAUGUGCUGUGAGCUCGAUGAGUAGGGCGGGACACGUGGUAUCCUGUCUGAAUAUGGGGGGACCAUCCUCCAAGGCUAAAUACUCCUGACUGACCGAUAGUGAACCAGUACCGUGAGGGAAAGGCGAAAAGAACCCCGGCGAGGGGAGUGAAAAAGAACCUGAAACCGUGUACGUACAAGCAGUGGGAGCACCCUUUGGGUGUGACUG
rnacentral:rRNA from 2 species